GUCAAUCAUAAAGGAAAUCAGUCCUGAAUAUUCAUUGGAAAGACUGAUGUUGAAGCUGAAACUUCAACAUUUUGGCCACCUGAUGCAAAGAACUGAUUCAUUGGAAAGGCCCCCAAUGCUGGGAAAGAUUGAAGGCAGGAGGAGAAGCAGACAACAGAGGAAGAGAUGGUUGGAUGGCAUCAAAGACUCAAUGGACAUGAGUUUGAGCAAGUUUCGGGAGUUGGUGAUGGACAGGGAAGCCUGGCGUGCUACAGCCCAUGGGGUCACAAAGAGUCGGAUACAACUGAGCAAACUGAACUAUUACUUAGGCUUCUAGGUGGCUCAAGUGGUAAAGAAUCCACCUGCCAAUGCAGGAGCCACAGGAUACAUGGGUUCAACCAUUUAAAAGACAUUAACUGGGUUCAAAUCAAAUUGUCUAAUCUUUGUGAACCUCAUCUUUGUCAUCUAAGGGACUUCAAACAUCUUAAUAUGAAAAAGCUAAGAAAAUUUACAGCCAUAAUACAAGUAGAAAGACUUAUUUCACAAAAACUCCUUGAUCAUCUCCCAGGAUAUGAACUCUACUGUAGGCUUUUUUUACAAGUCUCUUUAAUGCUUCCAAAACAUUUAUUUGGUGGUAUUAUUACUACAUAUUGGGUUGGCCAACACAAUAUUAGUUACAUCUCACAAAGCUGCACAGUUGAUAGAAUGAAAUUCAUUUGUUACUUUACCUUCAUAAUUUCUUUACUAUCUGUUUGUUUGUUUGUUUGUUUUUAACCAUCUGAGCCACCAGGGAAGCCCCAAGAGUACUGGAGUGGGUUGCUAUUCCCUUCUCUAGGGGAUCUUCCCGACGCAGGGACUGAACCCCGGUCUCCUGCAUUAUAGGCAGAUUCUUUACCAUCUGAGCCACCAGGAAAGCCCCUUAAAUUUCUAUAAAUGUUUAUUAAAAUUGAAUAAUUAUUUUUAUUGUUACUACCAUUGCUCUGUGCUUUACAAACUAAUAUAGCUGAUAGCCUCAUAAUGGAUUCAUUUCCGUAGAAAGCCUCUGUUACUGUUUCUGUAGUCAUGUUACUGUUUUAAUAUUUCAUAUGGA
ensembl:lncRNA